GUUUAAUUAUUUUUUCAUCCAUAUCUUUGAUUGUGUUUAUAAGUGUGUUUUUAAGGAGGAAAAAAAAAAGGAAAAAAAGAAAAGAGAGAAGAUUUUGCUUAUAGCUAUGAAUGAUGGGAUUUCUUUCAAUUGAUUGAUUACUCAUGUUGUGUUUUAACUGACACAUUUUGUCAUUAGAUUUGUUAAAGGAUUAAUUAUGUUGAUAUUCUUGAAAUGGAGCAAUGCCGUGGAAUAGUUGUUGCAUCAGCUGUAUUUGGAAACUAUGACAUAAUACAACAGCCAAGAAAUAUUAGUGAGGCUGCAAAGGGAAAUGCUUGCUUUUAUAUGUUUGUGGAUGAAGAGACGGAAGCAUAUAUAAAGAAUUCUAGUGCACUUGACAGCACUAACAGGGUGGGAAUAUGGAGAUUUGUUGUCGUUCACAACCUUCCUUAAUGCUGAUCCAAGACGGACUGGAAAGGUGAGUUCUUUUGUGUACUUAUUUUAUUUCUUUUAGACUCCAGAUUAGAUUGUGGUCUAGAAGCAGUCUAGUUGCCUACAAAGCAUGCAAUUGCCGAAUAUAGUUAAUGACUAAAUCUUUAUAGUGUGACUGUAUGCAGCAGCAAUGUAUUUAGUAAUCAUGCAAGAUUGAAAAAUCAUAUUGGAUGUUGCCCAAUAUGGUACUAGAUUGGCUGGUUAUUUAUAACUGCUGUAGAAAAGGUGGGAAUCAUGCAAUAAGUGGGAAAGUAAUAGUCUUUCAAAAAAGAAAAAAAGAAGAAAGUUUUUUCUUCAGAGGCAGCAAAGCAAGAUUACAUCCAUGUGAGAACGAGAAGGGGUCAAGCUACUGAUAGUCAGAGUCUGGCUGAGAGGGUCGUCAACGCGGUGAUCUUAUUGCAUAUGGUUUGAUACCAGAAUUUAUUGGACGGUUUCCAAUACUCGUUAGUUUGUCAGCUCUGGAAUGGACUAUUGUGU